GCCCGCGGGCUCGGCCUGCUCCCCGCGCCGCCCGCGCUCCGCGCCGAGCCGGACGACGAGGAGAGAGUGCCGCUGGCUGAGCUGUCACUGAUGAACAAGUUGAUCCACACGUCCCUGGUGGAGUCCCAGCAGCACGUGGAGAUCCUGCAGCGGGACCCCAGCUCCCCACUCUUCUCUAUCAAGACCUUCGAGGAGCUGCCCCUGAAGAAGGAGCUCUUGCAGGGGGUUUAUAUGAUGGGCUUCAACAGACCAUCCAAAAUCCAGGAGCAGGCUCUGCCACUCAUGCUGGCAUACCCGCCCCAAAAUCUGAUUGCCCAGAGCCAGUCAGGGACAGGGAAAACAGCAGCUUUUGUCUUGGCCAUGUUGAGCAGAGCCAGUGCCAGCGAGAAAUAUCCGCAGUGCCUCUGCCUGGCUCCCACCUACGAGCUGGCUCUGCAGAUCGGGCAGGUGGUGCGCACCAUCGGCAAGUUCUGCACUGACAUCAAGGUGAACUACGCUGUCCGGGGAAACCGAGUUCUGAAGGGCACAGUGCUGGAGGAGCAGAUCAUCAUUGGAACACCAGGCACCACGCUGGACUGGUGCUUCAAACAACGCGUCCUGGACCUGACAAAGAUCUCCUUGUUCGUGCUGGAUGAGGCCGACAUCAUGAUCGACACGCAGGGCCUCUCCUGUCAGAGCAUCCGCAUCCACAGGGCUCUUCCCAAGAGCUGCCAAGUGCUGCUCUUCUCAGCCACUUACAAGGAGCCCGUGCGGGCCUUUGCGGAGCGGAUCAUCCCCGACCCCAUCGUGAUCAAGCUGCGUGAGGAGGAGCUCACCCUGAGCAACAUCAGGCAGUACUUCAUGGUGUGCCAGAGCUCGGACGAGCAGUACAGGGCCCUCUGCAACCUCUAUGGCAGCUUCACCAUCGGUCAGGUCAUGAUCUUCUGCCAGACCCGGAGGCUGGCAGACUGGCUGUCGGGGAAGAUGAGCCGGGACGGGCACCAAGUGGCCAUCCUGACAGCAGAGCUGACGGUGGUGCAGAGGGCCAUCGUCAUCCAGCGCUUCCGUGAGGGCAAGGAGAAGGUCCUCAUCGCCACCAACGUCUGUGCCAGAGGCAUCGAUGUGCAGCAGGUCACCACGGUGGUGAACUUCGGCCUCCCCAUGGAUCAGGACGGCGAGCCGGAUUUUGAGACCUACCUGCACCGCAUCGGGAGGGCGGGACGCUUCGGGCACCGCGGCAUCGCCUUCAGCGUGGUGCAGAGGGAGACCGUGCAGCUCGUGCACAAGAUAGAGGAGUAUUUCCGCAUUUUUUCUGCCUUUCCUUGCAAGUGCUUGUCCCAGGGGACCUGGUGCCCCAGCUCAGGUCAGCCCUGGCUGUGGGAGAGGAGGUGGCAGCUGUGGAAAUCUUUCCUGAGUGGAAAUUGAUUGUCACUUGCUAACAUCAAGAGGAUUUUCAUGGGAUUUGCCAGAUGCCAGGGCUGCACUGAUGGUUUUUUGAAUCCCAGUGCCUGUUUUCCCUGUGAUUUUUAGAGGAAAGAAGGUUAUAGGAGCCUUCUGAUGGGCAGGAAACUGUGUCCCUUCCACAACUCCAGCCUCAGAGCCAUUCAGCCCUCUUGGUUCCUUCAAAUAUCCACCUGUCCUUGGAACCUGGAGUGACCCUGAGGCAGACACCAGACAGAGAAGACAUUCUGGCAAAGAUUGUUGCCGUGGAGUAGAAGCAGUGAGCAGCUGGAACAGCUGGCAUGUGGAUGAGCCCAACCACAGCCAUGGGCAGAAGGAGCCAGUAGACCACGAUCAAGCAGCUGGAUCCAUACGACAUGGACGAGCUGGAGAAGCUUGCAGCUGAGUGAGGAGCAGGGAUUCGUUCUCCCAAAUCCAAGUUGUAGUUCUAAACAGGAGGAAAAGUUUCAGGGGAAGACUUCCCGGUUCUCUUGUAUCCUGAAGCUGUUGAGUUUUGUUGUGUUGCCUGAGGGGAGGCUGGAGCGAACCUUGUCUCGCUAGAUGGCAGCAGGAAUCCACUGCUGCCAUCCCAGAUCCCAGGGCAAAAUCGAAGUGUUCAGGGUCCUGGCAGUGCAGGAGAGAGGUUGGACCCCCGGGGGUCUAAAAUCCAGGUGUUAAGGAUCCCAUCAGUGAGGGAGAGAGGUUGGAUCCCAGGGGUCUGAAACCCAAAUGUUCGGGGUCCCAGCAGUGUGGGGACAGAAGCUGGACUCAGGGACUGGGCUGUGUUUGUGCCUUUGUUAAUCUUUAAUAAAUGAAAUGGUUUGUAAUCAC